GAUCUUCUCCAGCAGGUGGUGGUAUGUCGAGAGGUCCUGGCCGCUCACCAGUUUCACCAGUUCGCUGGGUCUGGCGGGUUCUUUCACGAACGGCGGAGGUUCGGGCGGCUCCCACGGCUCGGGAACGGGCUCCAUGGCUUCAAAUGUGAGCGCUAAAGGAAGUUGUGCAAUAUCUAACAGUGGCAUCUGCGACAGGCAGACAAAAGGUGUGACAAUGGCAGACAGGAGCUGAUUGAUGUUGUCCAUGUUAACAUUGAAGUCAUUCACAGCUACCAGACAGUCACCUAUGGGCAAACAGACCGUGUACAAUUUUAAAAUUACAAGGUAGCUGGAACUGGACACCAAAGACUCAAUGUCACAAGAAUGUAUCUACAUGUAUUGUCAGUACACCACAACAAAGCAACCUAGCCUUAAGCACAUAUGUACGUACAUCAGUGCUGGAGAAAUGCAUUAAGUUGAUUAACUGAUUAGUGAAACACAAAAGGGUACAAGUAGAUGUGCAGCAACAAAAUCUUCAACAGCAUUCAAAAAACAUACUAAACAGAGCAAUGAGAUACAAGAUAGCAAUGCAAAUCAAAUUUUACAUUACAAAAAACAAAUGAUAUAUCGUACGUGGUGCAUCUCUAACACCAAAGCAGAAAGCAGCUUAAAAACUUGAUUUCAAUGACUCCAAAGUAAAAUAGUUGCAGGAAAAAGACAAUCUUGUAAUGUUAGUCAAUGAGUUAGACAAUGUUGACAACAGAUCACAUUCAUGUCAAAUACAGGUUACAACAGAACACACAUACACAGGGUACCUAUA